rnacentral:rRNA from 1 species
UGCAAGUCGAGGGAGACCAGUUGAUUCGUAAGAUUCGGCUGGGGAAACCGGCGAACGGGUGCGUAACACGUGAGGAACCUGCCCCGAAGACCGGGAUAGCCCGAGGAAACUCGGAUUAAUACCGGAUACCCUCUUUGGACCACAUGGUCGAUUGAGGAAAUGGUCCGCCGCUUCGGGAUGGCCUCGCGGCCUAUCAGCUUGUUGGUGAGGUAACGGCUCACCAAGGCCGAAACGGGUAGCUGGUCUGAGAGGACGAUCAGCCCCCCUGGGGACUGAAACACGGGCCAAACUCCUACGGGAGGCAGCAACAGGGAAUAUUGCACAAUGGGCGAAAGCCUGAUGCCACGACCCCGCGUGGGGGAUGAAGGCCUUCGGGUUGGAAACCGCUUUUCGGAGGGACGAAAAUGACGGUACCUCCCAAAAAGGGCCGGGCAACUACGUGCCAGCAGCCGCGG